rnacentral:rRNA from 1 species
GACGAACGCUGGCGGCGUGCUUAACACAUGCAAGUCGAACGGAAAGGCCCUGCUUUUGUGGGGUGCUCGAGUGGCGAACGGGUGAGUAACACGUGAGUAACCUGCCCUUGACUUUGGGAUAACUUCAGGAAACUGGGGCUAAUACCGGAUAGGAGCUCCUGCUGCAUGGUGGGGGUUGGAAAGUUUCGGCGGUUGGGGAUGGACUCGCGGCUUAUCAGCUUGUUGGUGGGGUAGUGGCUUACCAAGGCUUUGACGGGUAGCCGGCCUGAGAGGGUGACCGGCCACAUUGGGACUGAGAUACGGCCCAGACUCCUACGGGAGGCAGCAGUGGGGAAUAUUGCACAAUGGGCGGAAGCCUGAUGCGGCAACGCCGCGUGCGGGGUGACGGCCUUCGGGUUGUAAACCGCUUUCGCCUGUGACGAAGCGUGAGUGACGGUAAUGGGUAAAGAAGCACCGGCUAACUACGUGCCAGCAGCCGCGGUGAUACGUAGGGUGCGAGCGUUGUCCGGAUUUAUUGGGCGUAAAGGGCUCGUAGGUGGUUGAUCGCGUCGGAAGUGUAAUCUUGGGGCUUAACCCUGAGCGUGCUUUCGAUACGGGUUGACUUGAGGAAGGUAGGGGAGAAUGGAAUUCCUGGUGGAGCGGUGGAAUGCGCAGAUAUCAGGAGGAACACCAGUGGCGAAGGCGGUUCUCUGGGCCUUUCCUGACGCUGAGGAGCGAAAGCGUGGGGAGCGAACAGGCUUAGAUACCCUGGUAGUCCACGCUGUAAACGGUGGGUACUAGGUGUGGGGUCCAUUCCACGGGUUCCGUGCCGUAGCUAACGCUUUAAGUACCCCGCCUGGGGAGUACGGCCGCAAGGCUAAAACUCAAAGGAAUUGACGGGGCCCCGCACAAGCGGCGGAGCAUGCGGAUUAAUUCGAUGCAACGCGUAGAACCUUACCUGGGUUUGACAUGGAUCGGGAGCGCUCAGAGAUGGGUGUGCCUCUUUUGGGGUCGGUUCACAGGUGGUGCAUGGCUGUCGUCAGCUCGUGUCGUGAGAUGUUGGGUUAAGUCCCGCAACGAGCGCAACCCUUGUUCACUGUUGCCAGCACGUUAUGGUGGGGACUCAGUGGAGACCGCCGGGGUCAACUCGGAGGAAGGUGGGGAUGACGUCAAGUCAUCAUGCCCCUUAUGUCCAGGGCUUCACGCAUGCUACAAUGGCUGGUACAGAGAGUGGCGAGCCUGUGAGGGUGAGCGAAUCUCGGAAAGCCGGUCUCAGUUCGGAUUGGGGUCUGCAACUCGACCUCAUGAAGUCGGAGUCGCUAGUAAUCGCAGAUCAGCAACGCUGCGGUGAAUACGUUCCCGGG